rnacentral:rRNA from 1 species
CACGUAGGGACCAAGCGUUGUCCGGAUUUAUUGGGCGUAAAGAGCUCGUAGGCGGUUCGGUAAGUCGGGUGUGAAAACUCUGGGCUCAACUCAGAGAUGCCACCCGAUACUGCCGUGACUUGAGUCCGGUAGGGGAGCACGGAAUUCCUGGUGUAGCGGUGAAAUGCGCAGAUAUCAGGAGGAACACCGAUGGCGGAGGCAGUGAUCUGGGCCGAUACUGACGCUGAGGAGCGAAAGCGUGGGGAGCGAACAGG